UACGGAGGGUGCAAGCGUUAUCCGGAUUCACUGGGUUUAAAGGGAGCGUAGGUGGGGUGGUAAGUCAGUGGUGAAAUCUCCGGGCUUAACUCGGAAACUGCCGUUGAUACUAUCAUUCUUGAAUAUUGUGGAGGUAAGCGGAAUAUGUCAUGUAGCGGUGAAAUGCUUAGAUAUGACAUAGAACACCGAUAGCGAAGGCAGCUUGCUACACAAUCAUUGACGCUGAGGCACGAAAGCGUGGGGAUCAAACAGG
rnacentral:rRNA from 1 species